UUCCACAACUACAAAUAUCACCCUUUGUGCAAGCCUGAGGAUCAAUUUCUUCUUGAUUCCCAUUUAGUUUUGUCCGGGCUCUUUGAUACAAAUGUAAAAUACUUUUAAUUUCAAGACUUCUGUGGCUGUCAAUUCAAUGACUUUGUAGCAGGUCAUUUCUUUUUUCAAACUGCCUCUAGUACUAAAGCUAUCACAAGAAGCUGUGGUUCUGCUAUUGUUGGAGCCUGUUAUCUACAUUCCGGCCAUGUGCUUUCAGGCCGAUCGGGUGACCUGGUGAUUUGCUGACUCUGAGAGUGUUCCAUGAGGCUGCAAGCAUGGAGGCCAGGAGGCUAGGAGACAGGGCACAAGCUCAUGAUCAACUCCAUCUCUCACUCAUCUCGCCGAUUAAAAUACAGAGGAAGAUUGAAACCAUCUAAAUUGCCGAAGAUCAUUUUAAAAUUGGAGCAAGAGGCUGAGAGUGAAGGAGUAAGGAAUCUUGGAGAGAAGACUUUUGUUUUUACUCUGCUCGGGGAAAAGAGGCUAGACUGCGCAGGCGCAUGACGUAGUGCGCCAAAGGUUUAAAAAAAAGAUGACCCUAUACAGUGGGCAGCAUUGAGAGCGGGCAGCGGAGUGAGAGGGAGCAGAGUGGAAUGGCCUUGGCUCAACAGGCGUCGGUGUGAACAGACAGAGGUGAAGGGAAUUGGGGACCUUAUCCAUGAAAGAAGUGCAUGCAUUGUCCUGACGAAGGGUCUCGGCCUGAAACGUCGACUGCGCCUCUUCCUAUAGAUGCUGCCUGGCCUGCUGCGUUCACCAGCAACUUUGAUGUAUGUUGCAUGCAUUGUCAUAUUUGUUUAAGGACUUAAUUAAUAAUUGUGGGAAUUUGGAUAUUAUUUGUUUUGUAACUCCAGAAAUUAAUCAUAAGGCAGAAAAGAAACACAGGAGCCUGGGAGAAUGUUUAUGCUUAGUUUACUCUAGCGAGGUAGAUAUGGUGGCGUAAUGAGGUAUUCUAUUCACAUACUUUUACAUAUAACUCAUCAUGAAUUAUGUAAAUACCAAAGAAUGCUUAAUCAAACAAUAUAUUUAAAAUAUUGUGCAAACAUUACUGAAAUAUUAAAUACACUACACUCCUCCCUGCUUAGCUAUAAACUCUGACACAAUAUAGAAUGCAUCUCAACUAUAUACACAGUAUUACACAACUACCAUAUCGACAUCCAUAGCAUAGUAAAUUUUAAAUUGUCCCAUUCAGGCUUAAAGAAUUAAUCACUGUGGAUGAUUUCUUACUCUAGUGGGAAAACGUCCUUCAUUUUAAGCACAUCUAGAUGACCGUCAUGUAGCUCCUCUAACACUUCAGCUCUCUGAUUGGAUGGUACAAAAAUCUCUCAAUUCCCACAUAAAGCAACCAGUGUCAAGGGAAAAUUCAUUCUGGCACUGGUAAAAAUAUGGGAAAUUGGAUUUCUGCUACACAAUUCAGCCAUUUAAAGUGGCCAUGUAGACCUCAGAUAGUGUAAGGUUUUUUUCCGGUUACCCUUUGGAUCAUCUCUGCUGUAAUAAGGAGACAUUUUAUUUGCACGAUGGAAAAUACAUCAAGAGGAGUGUCCUCUUUUGUAAAAUAUUCAGGAACUUCCUUUUCCAAGGGCUAACAGGCCAAUCCUUCAGCAUUAUCAUGUGCAGUUGUCCUCUUGAAUUUAAUCUUGUAAUUGUGACCUCCAGGAAACAGAGCCCAGCUCUGCAUUUGUGCUGUUGCUGUUA